UACAGAGGGAGCGAGCGUUGUUCGGAAUUACUGGGCGUAAAGGGCGCGUAGGCGGUCCGAUAAGUCCCGUGUGAAAUCCCUCGGCUCAACUGAGGAAUGGCACGGGAAACUGACGGGCUUGAGUUCGGGAGAGGGAAGCGGAAUUCCGGGUGUAGCGGUGAAAUGCGUAGAUAUCCGGAGGAACACCGGUGGCGAAGGCGGCUUCCUGGACCGACACUGACGCUGAGGCGCGAAGGUCAGGGGAGCAAACGGG
rnacentral:rRNA from 1 species